UACAGAGGGUGCGAGCGUUGUUCGGAAUUAUUGGGCGUAAAGGGCGCGUAGGCGGUGCGGUAAGUCACCUGUGAAAUCUCCUGGCUCAACUGGGAGCUUGCAGGCGAAACUGCCGUGCUGGAGUGUGGGAGAGGUGCGUGGAAUUCCUGGUGUAGCGGUGAAAUGCGUAGAUAUCGGAAGGAACACCAGUGGCGAAAGCGGCUUCCUGGUCCAGCACAGACGUUCAGGCACGAAAGCGUGGGGAGCAAACAGG
rnacentral:rRNA from 1 species